rnacentral:misc_RNA from 1 species
UAUGAAGAACGCAGCGAAUUGCGAUAAGUAAUGUGAAUUGCAGAAUUCAGUGAAUCAUCGAAUCUUUGAACGCAGCUUGCGCUCUCUGGUAUUCCGGAGAGCAUGCCUGUUUCAGUGUCAUGAAAUCUCAACCACUAGGGUUUCCUAAUGGAUUGGAUUUGGGCGUCUGCGAUUUCUGAUCGCUCGCCUUAAAAGAGUUAGCAAGUUUGACAUUAAUGUCUGGUGUAAUAAGUUUCACUGGGUCCAUUGUGUUGAAGCGUGCUUCUAAUCGUCCGCAAGGACAAUUACUUUGACUCUGGCCUGAAAUCAGGUAGGACUACCCGCUGAACUUAAGCAUAUCAAUAAGCGGAGGA